rfam:Endozoicomonas sp. (ex Bugula neritina AB1) isolate AB1-5 ACH42_contig000216, whole genome shotgun sequence.
GGAGGUAGGCCCUCCGGUGGCGGCUUCUGGAAGCAGCCAUCAAACCACCGUAAGCUGCACUGGUAAAGAGCCUGUGGGGGAGGUUCCCAUGG